CCUACGGGUGGCUGCAGUCGAGGAUCUUCGGCAAUGGGGGCAACCCUGACCGAGCGAUGCCGCGUGAGCGAUGAAGGCCUUCGGGUUGUAAAGCUCGAAAGUGGGGAGAAUCUAUCCACAGUAAGCUCGGGCUAAGUUCGUGCCAGCAGCCGCGGUAAGACGAACCGAGCGAACGUUGUUCGGAAUCACUGGGCUUAAAGGGCGCGUAGGCGGGCUGUCAAGUCUGGGGUGAAAUCCCGCGGCUCAACCGCGGAACUGCCUCAGAUACUGACGGCCUCGAGGGGGAUAGGGGCGAGCGGAACUAAUGGUGGAGCGGUGAAAUGCGUUGAUAUCAUUAGGAACUCCGGUGGCGAAGGCGGCUCGCUGGUCCUUCUGACGCUGAGGCGCGAAAGCCAGGGGAGCAAACGGGAUUAGAUACCCUUGUAGUC
rnacentral:rRNA from 1 species